GGACAACUGCCCUCCUGGAGAACGUCACAGACUCUGGGCACUGGGGGGCCUUGUCAGAGUUCACUUCCAUUUUCAGUUUUCAGGUGGCCUGGCCCAGCAUCUGGCAGCAACGGACCAACCUGAACACGGAGAUGGAAACCAACACAGAGUUAUUUUCUUGUGCAUCAUUUGGGAGUCAUUGAAUAAACAUGUAUUGAGCACCUAGUCCCAUGGCAAGCUUCAUGCUGAGGACUAGGGAUAGAAACACAAAUAUACAGUUUCUGCUUAAAGGACCUCAGAUGCUGGUGGGGGAGAUGGAGGACAAGAGAGCCAAAUGUGAUGCAGAGCAAGAGGUGCUGAGUAGGAAUCAUUUCAUGGGAUUGUAGACAGAGGAGGAACCUCAAACCAUCCCAAGGGUUGUGAAAGAGACAGAGUGUUUGAAAGAGAAGGCACUUUGUAUUUUAGACUCACACAUCAACUGGAAUGCUGCCACUCCUAGAAUCUCAGCGUCCUGGUUGUAAAGCCUCUGAGGGAUUUCUGGGUUACAGAACUCUGAGAUAAUCAGUGAAUCAAAAAAUAAAUCUCCUAUUUGCAAACCA